ACGUCGAUGGAAUCGGCAUUUCUCCCCUCUCCUAUAUUCUCUAUACGAAACCUUCUCGAUCAAUCCUCUUAUCCUGACCUUUUCUCUCUCUCUCUCUCUCUCUCUCUCUCUCUCCUUCCCUCUCUCUCUCCCUUUCUCUCUUUUUCUCUCCAUUACCAUCUUUAUUUCUCUUCUAUCCUUCUUCCUUUCUUUCCGAUUAAUUCAAGUCUAGUCGCAUUGUUCUUAUGUAACUAGUCUCAUAAACGAAUAUUUUUUUCAUUUUCACGUCCAAUCGAUCGGACUUUUAAAGCUAGUUUUUCUUGUGAUGGUGGACAGGGUAAAAUUUAUCUCGCAUAAAAAUCAGUACGAUCGAUCCGUACUUGGAAUAAGAGUUUUAAUCGUGAAUAGGACGGCCUGUUUCUAUUUUAUCGACAAGUUAUCAUAAUUUAUUUUUGCGAAAUGAAAAAUGUAAUAAAAGUUCUUACGAUAUUCUAACGACUUAACGACCACCCUAUAUCGCGUCUUAAUCGAUCAAUCUCUUCAUUUCUUUUAUUUUCAUUCUACUUUUAUCUUUGUACUUAAUGCCAGUCAUUAUAAUAUUACUCACUUUAAAUUGAUAAGCAUUGCAAUCAUAUUUUUACUUUUAAGACUCGAUAAGCAUGUAAUCAACGUUGCUCAAUUUACGUACGAAAUGAGAACUUCGAUUCAGGAUAGAACAUCAUAGAAACGUGAAAUCUGGAAUGACGUUUGAGCAACAAGUGGUGAGAAAUUGGUUCACGGCAGUUAUGUAUGCGCUUGAUUAUGUUCUGGCAUAGAUACCAGUGCGAACGGAAAAACAAUUAGAAGGUUUCUUCGUCAAGAUCUUUGAAAUAAAGUACUAGGACCACUGGAUUCUUCAUCGACUGGUGUGUGAUCCAAUGGCACACUAAUAUAUUCGUAAUCACCGGAUCUAUAAGGUGCUAUCAAGUAUUCCGGUGGCGCACAGGGUACAGGUGAUAUUAUAUCGGUUCCAA